rnacentral:rRNA from 1 species
AUGGCGGCGGCGACGACGAUCCAGUCGGUGAAGGCGCGGCAGAUCUUCGACAGCCGCGGCAACCCCACCGUCGAGGUGGAUAUUGGGCUCAGCGACGGGAGCUUCGCCAGGGGCGCCGUGCCCAGCGGCGCCUCCACCGGAAUCUACGAGGCCCUGGAGCUGAGGGAUGGAGGCUCUGAUUACCUCGGCAAAGGUGUUCUCAAGGCGGUGAGCAAUGUAAACGCCAUCAUCGGGCCGGCGCUGAUCGGGAAGGACCCGACCGAGCAGACCGACAUCGACAACUUCAUGGUCCAGCAGCUCGACGGGACCUCCAACGAGUGGGGCUGGUGCAAACAGAAGCUCGGGGCAAACGCGAUCCUCGCAGUGUCGCUGGCGGUGUGCAAGGCCGGCGCCAUGGUCAAGAAGAUCCCUCUUUACCAGCACAUUGCAAAUCUUGCCGGGAACAAGACCCUGGUGCUGCCCGUGCCAGCUUUCAAUGUGAUCAACGGAGGUUCUCACGCCGGGAACAAGCUCGCCAUGCAGGAGUUCAUGAUCCUCCCAACCGGCGCCGCCUCGUUCAAGGAGGCCAUGAAGAUGGGAGUUGAGGUGUACCACCACCUUAAGAGCAUAAUCAAGAAGAAGUAUGGCCAAGACGCCACAAACGUUGGGGAUGAAGGUGGCUUUGCACCUAACAUUCAGGAAAACAAGGAGGGCCUUGAACUGUUGAAGGCAGCUAUAGCUAAGGCUGGCUACACUGGAAAGGUGGUCAUUGGAAUGGAUGUUGCUGCUUCUGAAUUCUACAGCGAGAAGGACCAGACCUAUGACCUUAAUUUCAAGGAGGAUAACAACGACGGAUCCCACAAAAUCUCGGGCGACAGCCUGAAAGAUCUGUACAAGUCCUUCGUCUCCGAGUACCCUAUCGUGUCGAUCGAGGACCCGUUCGAUCAGGAUGACUGGGCCACCUACGCCAAGAUGACCGGUGAGGUUGGGCAGCAGGUGCAGAUUGUCGGAGACGACCUUCUUGUUACUAACCCCACGAGGGUUGCCAAGGCGAUCAGUGAGAAGACCUGCAAUGCUCUUCUCCUGAAGGUGAAUCAGAUAGGCUCGGUGACGGAGAGCAUCGAGGCCGUCAGCAUGUCCAAGCGCGCCGGGUGGGGAGUGAUGGCGAGCCACAGGAGUGGUGAGACAGAGGACACCUUCAUCGCCGACCUCUCGGUCGGCCUGGCCACGGGCCAGAUCAAGACUGGAGCUCCCUGCAGGUCCGAGCGUCUGGCCAAAUACAACCAGCUGCUGAGGAUCGAGGAGGAGCUCGGCGACGCGGCGGUGUACGCCGGAGCAAACUUCAGGGCGCCGGUGGAGCCCUACUGA